rnacentral:rRNA from 1 species
GACGAACGCUGGCGGCGUGCUUAACACAUGCAAGUCGAACGGAAAGGCCCUGCUUGCAGGGUACUCGAGUGGCGAACGGGUGAGUAACACGUGGGUGAUCUGCCCUGCACUUCGGGAUAAGCUUGGGAAACUGGGUCUAAUACCGGAUAGGAACCAUCUUUAGUGUGGUGGUUGGAAAGUUUUUUCGGUGUAGGAUGAGCUCGCGGCCUAUCAGCUUGUUGGUGGGGUAAUGGCCUACCAAGGCGGCGACGGGUAGCCGGCCUGAGAGGGUGUACGGCCACAGUGGGACUGAGAUACGGCCCAGACUCCUACGGGAGGCAGCAGUGGGGAAUAUUGCACAAUGGGCGCAAGCCUGAUGCAGCGACGCCGCGUGGGGGAUGAAGGCCUUCGGGUUGUAAACUCCUGUCGCUAGGGACGAAGCUUUGUUGUGACGGUACCUAGAUAAGAAGCACCGGCUAACUACGUG